GUAACGCGUAUAGAACCUACCUUUUACUGGAGAAUAGCCUUUAGAAAUGAAGAUUAAUGCUCCAUGGUAUUGAGACUUGGCAUCAAGUUUUAAUUAAAGAUUUAUUGGUAAAAGAUGGCUAUGCGUCCUAUUAGUUAGAUGGUAAGGUAACGGCUUACCAUGACAUCGAUAGGUAGGGGUCCUGAGAGGGAGAUCCCCCACACUGGUACUGAGACACGGACCAGACUCCUACGGGAGGCAGCAGUGAGGAAUAUUGGGCAAUGGAGGCAACUCUGACCCAGCCAUGCCGCGUGCAGGAAGACGGCCCUAUGGGUUGUAAACUGCUUUUAUACAGGAAGAAACACUGGUAUGUAUACCAGCUUGACGGUACUGUAAGAAUAAGGACCGGCUAACUCCGUGCCAGCAGCCGCGGUAAUACGGAGGGUCCGAGCGUUAUCCGGAAUCAUUGGGUUUAAAGGGUCCGCAGGCGGUUAAUUAAGUCAGAGGUGAAAUCCCAUAGCUCAACUAUGGAACUGCCUUUGAUACUGGUUGACUUGAGUCAUAUGGAAGUAGAUAGAAUGUGUAGUGUAGCGGUGAAAUGCAUAGAUAUUACACAGAAUACCGAUUGCGAAGGCAGUCUACUACGUAUGUACUGACGCUGAGGGACGAAAGCGUGGGGAGCGAACAGGAUUAGAUACCCUGGUAGUCCACGCCGUAAACGAUGGAUACUAGUUGUUUGGCAUUAGCUAAGUGACUAAGCGAAAGUGAUA
rnacentral:rRNA from 1 species